AUUGAACGCUGGCGGCAGGCCUAACACAUGCAAGUCGAACGAGUGGCGGAGGGGUGAGUAAUGUCUGGGAACCUGCCUGAUGGAGGGGGAUAACUACUGGAAACGGUAGCUACUACCGCAUACCAUCGGAUGUGCCCAGAUGGGAUUAGCUAGUAGGUGGGGUAACGGCUCACCUAGGCGACGAUCCCUAGCUGGUCUGAGAGGAUGACCGGCCACACUGGGACUGAGACACGGUCCAGACUCCUACGGGAGGCAGCAGUGGGGAAUAUUGCACAAUGGGCGCAAGCCUGAUCGAGCAAUGCCGCGUGUAUGAAGAAGGCCUUCGGGUUGUAAAGCACUUUCAGCGGGGAAGCGGUACCGAAAGAAAAAGCACCGGCUAACUACGUGCCAGCAGCCGCGGUAAUAC
rnacentral:rRNA from 1 species